AGAAUCAACGCUGGCGGCGUGCCUAACACAUGCAAGUCGAACGAGAAAGGGGAGCAAUCCCUGAGUAAAGUGGCGCACGGGUGAGUAACACGUGACUAACCUACCCUGGAGUGGGGGAUAACUGAGGGAAACCUUAGCUAAUACCGCAUAACACCUACGGGUCAAAGGAGCAAGUUCGCUUUGGGAGGGGUCGCGGCCGAUUAGUUAGUUGGCGGGUAAUGGCCCACCAAGACAGUGAUCGGUAUCC
rnacentral:rRNA from 1 species